UAUUAUGCAAAUUGACUUUCCACUUGGCCGGCGCCGUGUUGUCCGCUCCUUUUUGUACACGUGACUGGCAAAGAGAAGGGAACAUGGAGCCACCAUUCUGAACAUGCCUAG
rnacentral:pre_miRNA from 1 species